GUCCAACCUGCCCAGUGAAUUACAUUUCAACGGCCGCGGUAUCCUAACCGUGCAAAGGUAGCAUAAUCACUUGUCCCUUAAAUGAGGACUUGUAUGAACGGUCAAAUGAGGGCCUAACUGUCUCUUGCAGCCAAUCAAUGAAAUUGAUCUUACAGUACAAACGCUGUAAUAAAACUAUAAGACGAGAAGACCCUGUGGAGCUUUAAACUACUACACUAACCACACCUAUUAACCCUAGAUAUCAUAGUGUAAUUUUUAAGUUGGGGCGACUAUGGAGUAAAAAAAACCCUCCAUGCAACACGAGCUAGCUCGUUCUGCCAGGCCAACAAGCCUAAGCCAAAAACACGACCCAGUUCAAACUGAGUACCGAACCAAGUUACCCCAGGGAUAACAGCGCAAUCCCCUUAAAGAGUCCACAUCACCAAGGGGGUUUACGACCUCGAUGUUGGAUCAGGACACCCCAGUGGUGCAGCCGCUACUAAAGGUUCGUUUGUUCAACGAC
rnacentral:rRNA from 1 species